rnacentral:rRNA from 1 species
ACGUAGGGUGCAAGCGUUAAUCGGAAUUACUGGGCGUAAAGCGUACGCAGGCGGCUUUGCAAGACAGGUGUGAAAUCCCCGGGCCUAACCUGGGAACUGCAUUUGUGACUGCAUGGCUAGAGUUUGUCAGUGGGGGGUGGAAUUCCACGUGUAGCAGUGAAAUGCGUAGAUAUGUGGAGGAACACCGAUGGCGAAGGCAGCCCCCUGGGAUGUGACUGACGCUCAUGUACGAAAGCGUGGGGAGCAAACAGGA